AAGUAGGAAACAAACACAGCAAGGGAGCAGAAGGCUUGUAGGUUACCAGUUCCCUCCCCCUGGGGCGAUUCCACCGGAUGAGAGGCACACACGUUCAGUUCUGAGUGACAUAUGAAAUAAAGAUGUUUGCUAUUUUGUGUUUUCUUUCCCUGUAUUUUAAACAUUUCUACAAAUUAAAAGUGAUACACAAAUCUAUCCAAAGCCCUUUUUAUUGUCUUUACAAUGGCAAGCAAGGGGCAGAGGACCUAAAUUGGGUCCUCCGUAUUCACAGCGCGUCAAGGCCCAAUCCGGGCUGGAGGUCAGGGGAGCCGCACCCGCCACGUCCGCUCACUGGCUUUCGGUUUCCGUGUGUCUCCAUCUUGUCUACGCAGAUCCUCAGAUCCGACGUCCGCAGAGUGAAGUUCGCGGCGACCUGAGCCACCCCAGCCGCCACUUAAGGCAGACGGCGUGCCUCUCCUGCAAGAGCCGGGAAAGAAAUGAAGAAAGGCCUCCAAAAUGAAGUUGCUGACUCGCUGUGCGCGGAGCCCUGCUAAGUGGAUAGACGCUGGAUGAGACCCUGGCUGCUGAUUUCUGGAACAUGGCCCUGUACCCCGUGUCUGCUGAGGUCAUCCACCAGGUGGAGGAGUCCCUGGACGACGAGGAGAAGGAAACGAUGCUUUUCUUAUGUAGAGAUGUGGCUGAGAACCUGGCUCCACCUAACGUCAGGGAGCUCCUGGGCACCUUAAGUGAGAGAGGCCAGCUCUCCUUGGCUACCUUGGCUGAACUGCUCUACAGAGUGAGGCGCUUCGACCUGCUUAAGAAGAUACUGAAGACGGACAAAGCGGCCGUGGAGGCCCACCUCCGCAGAAACCCUCACCUUGUUUCUGAUUAUAGGGUGCUGAUGAUGGAGAUUGGCGAGAAUCUGGAUAAAUCCGACGUGUCCUCCUUAAUUUUCCUUAUGAGAGAUUACACAGGCCGAGGCAAGGGAGCCAAGGACAAGAGUUUCUUGGACCUGGUGAUUGAACUGGAGAAACUGAAUCUUGUUGCUGCAGAUCAAUUGAACUUACUAGAAAAAAGCCUGAAGAGCAUCCACAGGAUAGAUCUGAAGACCAAAAUCCAGAAGUACGCGCAGUCAGGCCAAGGAGCAGGAUCAAAUUAUGUGAAUUCUCUCCAGGCUUCUCUUCCAAACUUGAGCAUCAAGGAGCCUUCAUAUAACUCAAGGCUCCAGAAUGGGCGAAGUAAGGAACAAAGAUUUGCGGAACACCUUCACAUUCAAAGAAAACCGGUGAAGACAUCCAUUCAGGAAUCGGGAGCUUUGUUGCCUCAGCUUAUACACGAAGAGAGUUACAGGAUGCAGAGCAAGCCCCUGGGUAUCUGCUUGAUCAUCGAUUGCAUCGGCAACGACAUAGAAUAUCUUCGCAGGACUUUCACAUCCCUGGGCUAUCACGUCCAUCCUUUCUUGUUUCCCAGCGCGGAAGAAAUAAUUAAGAUUCUUCACCGGUUUGCCGGUCUGCCCCAACACAGAGACUAUGACAGCUUCGCGUGUGUUUUAGUGAGCCGGGGAGGCUCCCAAAGGAUGAUGGGUGUGGAUCAGGCUCCCACGGGGUUCUCCUUGGAUUACGUCAAGAGCAUAUUCAUGGGGGACGCUUGCUCUCCUCUAAGAGGGAAGCCAAAGCUCUUCUUUAUUCAGAGCUACGAGGUGUUAAGUAGCCAGUUAGAAGACGGCAGUCUAGAGGUAGAUGGGCCGGCAGUAAGAAGCUUGGACUCUAAGACCCUGCGUCCUGGCCCCUGCAUGGUCCACCGCGAAGCUGACAUCUUCUGGAGCCUGUGCACGGCGGACGUCUCCCAGGUAGAGCAGCCCACCAGCUCAUCCUCCGUGUACCUGCAGAACCUCUCCCGGCAGCUGGAACAAGAAAGGAAACGCCCACUCGUGGACCUCCACGUCGAGCUCAUGGACAAAGUUUAUGCCUGGAACAGCAGAGUUUCUUCUAAGGAGAAAUACUAUCUGAGCCUGCAGCACACACUGCGAAAGAAGCUCGUCUUAUCUACGUGAAAACUGGAAGCCCCCUGAGUUCUUGGAGCGUAGGCCAGGGUGGCUUGGAGCUGGCAAACCUCCUGCUCGCUUGGGUGCAGGCCUUGAAAGUCUAUACUUGCUCUGGUUCCAGAGCAAGCCCCGAUUCCUGAUUCUCUUAUAAACAGGCAUCAGCUGUAGCCCGGCUGCCACGAACCACAUCACUCCAGCUGCCAUGCGUCCCCACUGGGAUGGCAAAGUGAGCCUCUCCUCCUUAAGUUCCUGGGCCAGAUGUUUUAGUACAGUGUGGAGAAUGCGAAUCCCUGGCUAUUUUCACCCAGAUCCACAUCUUUGGCAGAAUCAAAUGGGUAUCUCGCAUCAGACCUCAGACCGCGGUUAUUCCCCGUCGUGAAGUUCAUGCCCUUGUGAUGAAUUCCUAAUUGUUCCACCAGAGGGCAGCAAAGAAGCAUGAACAGGGGAGCGAAGGCCGGAAGGAGUUUGCUGGCUGGAAAGGUCUCCAGGGAGUCCCCCAGAGGUGGUGUUCGCCUUUAAUCCUAGCUCUUGGGGAGGCAGAGGCAAGUGGGUUUCCGUGAGUUCGAGAGUAGCCUGGUCUACAAAAUGAGUUCCAGGACAGCCAGGGCUGUUACACAGGGAAACUCUGUCUCAAAAAAAAGGGGGGAGGGGGUUGAAAAUCAAAGACAAAGCACCAUACAGAGAUUUUUUUUUUGAACUGAAAAAAAAAAGAAAUAGAAGAAUGAGCCAAUAUUGACUUUCAAACGUAAAAUUUUUCUGAAAGCACAGCACAGAUACACACCUUACACACACAGCACAGUGAACCGACUUUCUAUUUCCCAGUCAGCGAGCACAGGCCUUCAGCAAACAGUCCUUCUGCCUCUGCCUCAGACACAGGCAAACCAUGCCUUUCUGCUUCUUCUCAAAACCGUUGGUUUCACUUCCUUUUUGAAGGGCAUGCUUUUCUCAAGAGAUCUGGCCGGAAAGUGUUCCUUGCAUAGCAGUGAGUGGCCCUGCAUUUUCUAGCUUUAUUUUGGCUGGAAGACACAUAGCAAAGGUGGACAUUGCCGUUGACAGCAGAAGUCUCUAUUUCUGCCGUUAAUGCUUCGCAGUCCGCUUUGGGCAAUGACCUGGCGUAGCCUGGCUGUCGGGUACAACAUGGUCAGAAGCAGGUUCAGGAGAAGAGGUGUUUUGGGAUCUCAUCAAAAAAUCUUAGUAUAAACUUUGGGAACACUAGGGAGGGUUUGUACAAUGAUGCAACAAACAGAAACUUGAAUGAGAGACACUGCGGUAGUUUUAGUAAGGAUGUCCUCCUUAGACUCUUGUAUUUGAAACUUGGUUCCCAGUUGGUUGGUGCUGUCUGGGGGCAGUUUAGGUGGUGCAACCUUGCAGGAGGAAGUAUAUUACUGGGGGUAGGCUUUGGGGUUCAACGCCUCACACUGCUUCUGGUUCGUUCUUUCUGCUUUGUGUUUGCAUUUGAAGACGUGAGCUCUCAGUUUUCUCUUCCUGCUGCCUCGCCUGCCUGCGGCUUGCUGCCACGCUUCUCUGCCAGGACAAACACUACUCUCUCUGGAACUGUAAGCCAAAUAAACUCUUCCCAUUCCAAGAUGCCUUUGCUCAUCGCGUUUUAGAGCAGUAACAAAAAAAAAAAAUAACUAAUACAUACACCUUAGGUUAUGUGUAUGGCCCAGUUAGGGUGGCCUCACUUUGGAGGUGGCAUUUCAAGCCGGGACAACACAAAAUAGAGGGAUAAACAGAAACGGGAGAGAGAACAGCGUGGUAUUCUUCUGAGGUGGGAUGCUAUUGAGGGAACCUCCAAAAGAGCCCUGAGAAGGCUUGAGGAAUCUUUCAAGACAAGUGGAGAACUUGUUUCAUAUAUGGGGGUUGCUUAGAGACUUCAAAAUAAUUGCACAGAAGGGUUACAUUUAUCCACAGCCCAGCCGGCAUGGAGACCAUUCAUUCUCUAGACCUUUCUGAACGCCAGUUCUCACCGAUAUUUUACUUUUGGGUUAUGACAAGCUUCUGGAAGGGUUAUACAGACAAUAAUUAGGCCCAGGUGUGGCAAUGCACACACAUCUGUAAUCCCAGCAUUUGGGAGGCUGAGGCAGCGUUACCUGCCUAGGUAUGGUUCCAACCUGGACAUUGGCAUCCCUAAAAAGCGAGGUUUUAUCAAAGCCUCCAAAGGCCAAUUCAAAGGAUCAGCAACAGCGGAAAAACAGAGAAAAAAGAUGUAUGCAAAAGUGUCCUGCUGGGAAGAGGAACCAAUGGGGAGAGCCAGUGGCACCCAAGUCCACGUGGGGUCUUGAUAGAAUCUUUAGGCUCAGAUGGAGGGCUGGGGGGUAAAUGACCAAGCAGUCCUGGUCAGGCUGGGGCCCCGCCCACCACUGAUCCUUGUCUCAUCCUGCAAGUGGUUGUCCGAAGCCUGUGAAACCUGUCUGGGAGACAAAUCUCCCUUCUAGCUGGCAUCCAGC